UGGGCGUAUACACACACACACACACACACACACACACACACAACUGCCAGGCAGGGACUGUCCCGAUUGAGGUCUCCGAAGACAUCCUUGCAAGGCAUCUCCAUCUCCCUUGGAGUUCCUGAAGACUUGGCCCAGGAGCUAAGGGGUUUAGGUGGCCAUAAGUGAGGUCAGUGAAGUGUAAAACACAAACGAGUGACAUCCAGGGGCCUGGAUCCUAUUCGAGGUGUAUCUAUGCAGAUGGGAAGGGGUCGCCACCCAGACUCAGGUGCCACAUCUCCAGGGAAGGAGGGUAUUCUGGGACAGAUCAAAGUCUACUCCCAUUUUACAGAAGAUGCAGUUGAGGUCUGUGCAUGCAGUGGCUUGCCUGGAGUACCAAGGAUGGAGAUGAUGGCCGAGCUGGGAGUAGGACCCAGGUCCGCUUGGACAGUGACAAAUCCUCUGGCCACUGCCCCCAAGGGGGUCCAGGUAGGAAUAUCAGGGUCAGGAAGGGUUUGUGUCACUUCUCAGACAAGGUAUCUCCCCUGGGGCUCAGAGGGGAGCUGGUGAGAACCUAAAGACCUGGCUCCGAGGCUGAUGUCGGGAAAAGACCUAGGGUGAGCCCCUCCAGCGGCCACAAAGGCUACGUGCAGGGCCCUGCCCUCACAGGGGCCCCUUACAUAGCCCCACCUCAUUCUGUCCCGAUGCACAGAUAUUCCCACCACCUGGGUGAUGGCGGCUGGGCUAUGCGGGUCAGGGCUGGGGCAUAGAUGGCCAGAUUAAUAUUCUACCUCCUUGGUUGAUAAGGCCUGGGAACCUUGGUCCCAGCGAGCAAGGCUGGAGAAGCAGGGACCAUGGCCCUGGUAGGGAAGUCUCACUUUGUCAGGUUCCAGAGCUUGGGGCAUUGCGGCUGGGUGCUGAGGACAGGGCUCAGGAGACCUGGGUCCCGGGCCAGCUCACCCUGGGGCUGGGCAUCGCUCUUCUCCCCGGCCAGUGGGAGAAGGACUCUGUGCUGUCUUCCUGGUGAGUGUGGUGAGGAUCACACCAAGGACUCUGCGGGGAAGGUCUUGAAUGGAUCAGGCUGCUAUCUUGAGGAAAGAGGGUUAUUAUUCACAGUAGUCGUAAAUGCCCUGUGAAAUUGGAGUGGAGUUGCUUUGAGCUCUGGCCAGAAUGCCCCAAUCAACCUUUGGCUCUGAUAAAGAUAAGCAGGCCCAAGGUGAUAACACAUCAACCAGAAACUGUCAACAGGAGCUAAUUAGGGCACUGGGUGCCGGGUGAGCCCCGCCCCCUACACCUGAUGGGGGAGAACUCUCAGGUAGGGGAGGAUGUGGGCUCAUUGCCUGGACCUUAGCCUACUGCUUUUUUGUUUUUUCAUCUUCUGGCCACUUUUCCACCUCCAACCACUACCUCCCACCCCUCUGCCUGCAUUAUAUAACAUAACAUGAAACAAGAUGGAAUAAAACAGAAUCCAAUGUGAUGGGCGCCAUAUAAUGCAGUGGAAAGAAUCCUGACUUGGGGCCAGGUGUGGUGGCUUAUGCCUGUAAUCCCAACACUUUGGGAGGUCAAGGCGGGUGGAUCUCCCGAGGUCAGGAGUUUGAGACCAGCCUGACUAACACGGAGAAACCGUGUCUCUACUAAAAAUACAAAAAUUAGCCAGGUGUGGUGGUGGGAACCUGUAGUCCCAGCUACUCGGGAGGCUGAGGCAGGAGAAUCGCUUGAACCCGGAAGGCGGAGGUUGCAGUGAGCCAACAUUGGGCCAUUGCACUCCAGCCUGGGCGACAGAGCAAGACUCUAUCUCAAAAAAAAAAAAA
ensembl:lncRNA